rnacentral:rRNA from 1 species
ACUCAAAGGAAUAGACGGGGGCCCGCACAAGCGGUGGAUCAUGUGGUUUAAUUCGAAGCAACGCGAAGAACCUUACCUGGGUUUGACAUCCCUUUGAAUACAGAUAGAGAUAUUUGUAGGCUAGCAAUAGACAGAGGAGACAGGUGCUGCAUGGCUGUCGUCAGCUCGUGUUGUGAAAUGUUGGGUUAAGUCCCGCAACGAGCGCAACCCUUAUCUUUGGUUGCUACCAUUAAGUUGAGCACUCCAGAGAGACUGCCGUCGUUAAGACGGAGGAAGGUGGGGAUGACGUCAAGUCCUCAUGGCCUUUAUAUCCAGGGCGACACACGUGAUACAAUGGUAGGUACAGAGGGUAGUGAAGUAGUGAUACGAAACCAAUCCCAAAAAGCCUAUCUCAGUUCGGAUUGAAGUCUGCAACUCGACUUCAUGAAGCUGGAAUCGCUAGUAAUCGCGGAUCAGCACGCCGCGGUGAAUACGUUCCCGGGCCUUGUACACACCGCCCGU